rnacentral:rRNA from 1 species
GAUGAACGCUGGCGGCGUGCCUAAUACAUGCAAGUCGAGCGAACAGAUGAGGAGCUUGCUCCUCUGACGUUAGCGGCGGACGGGUGAGUAACACGUGGAUAACCUACCUAUAAGACUGGGAUAACUUCGGGAAACCGGGGCUAAUACCGGAUAAUAUAUUGAACCGCAUGGUUCAAUAGUGAAAGACGGUUUUGCUGUCACUUAUAGAUGGAUCCGCGCCGCAUUAGCUAGUUGGUAAGGUAACGGCUUACCAAGGCAACGAUGCGUAGCCGACCUGAGAGGGUGAUCGGCCACACUGGAACUGAGACACGGUCCAGACUCCUACGGGAGGCAGCAGUAGGGAAUCUUCCGCAAUGGGCGAAAGCCUGACGGAGCAACGCCGCGUGAGUGAUGAAGGUCUUCGGAUCGUAAAACUCCGUUAUUAGGGAAGAACAAAUGUGUAAGUAACUAUGCACGUCUUGACGGUACCUAAUCAGAAAGCCACGGCUAACUACGUG